rnacentral:rRNA from 1 species
AUACGUAGGGGGCAAGCGUUGUCCGGAAUCACUGGGCGUAAAGCGUGCGUAGGCGGUUGUGUAAGUCUGAAGUGAAAGUCCAAGGCUCAACCUUGGGAUUGCUUUGGAAACUGCAUGACUUGAGUGCUGGAGAGGCAAGGGGAAUUCCACGUGUAGCGGUGAAAUGCGUAGAUAUGUGGAGGAAUACCAGUGGCGAAGGCGCCUUGCUGGACAGUGACUGACGCUGAGGCACGAAAGCGUGGGGAGCAAACAGGAUUAGAUACCCUGGUAGUCCACGCCGUAAACGAUGAGUGCUAGGUGUUGGGGGGACACACCCCAGUGCCGAAGGAAACCCAAUAAGCACUCCGCCUGGGGAGUACGGUCGCAAGACUGAA